rnacentral:rRNA from 1 species
GAUGAACGCUGGCGGCGUGCCUAAUACAUGCAAGUCGAGCGAACAGAUAAGGAGCUUGCUCCUUUGACGUUAGCGGCGGACGGGUGAGUAACACGUGGGUAACCUACCUAUAAGACUGGGAUAACUUCGGGAAACCGGAGCUAAUACCGGAUAACAUUUGGAACCGCAUGGUUCUAAAGUGAAAGAUGGUUUUGCUAUCACUUAUAGAUGGACCCGCGCCGUAUUAGCUAGUUGGUAAGGUAACGGCUUACCAAGGCAACGAUACGUAGCCGACCUGAGAGGGUGAUCAGCCACACUGGAACUGAGACACGGUCCAGACUCCUACGGGAGGCAGCAGUAGGGAAUCUUCCGCAAUGGGCGAAAGCCUGACGGAGCAACGCCGCGUGAGUGAUGAAGGGUUUCGGCUCGUAAAACUCUGUUAUUAGGGAAGAACAAACGCGUAAGUAACUGUGCACGUCUUGACGGUACCUAAUCAGAAAGCCACGGCUAACUACGUG